rnacentral:rRNA from 1 species
UACGUAGGUGGCAAGCGUUGUCCGGAAUUACUGGGCGUAAAGGGCGUGUAGGCGGCCUUUUAAGUCAGGCGUGAAAACUGUGGGCUUAACCCACAGACUGCGUUUGAGACUGAGAGGCUUGAGGAUCGGAGAGGGCAGUGGAAUUCCCAGUGUAGCGGUGAAAUGCGUAGAUAUUGGGAAGAACACCAGUGGCGAAGGCGGCUGCCUGGACGACACCUGACGCUGAGGCGCGAAAGCCAGGGGAGCAAACGGG